rnacentral:rRNA from 1 species
GACGAACGCUGGCGGCGUGCCUAAUACAUGCAAGUUGAGCGCUGAAGGUUGGUACUUGUACCAACUGGAUGAGCAGCGAACGGGUGAGUAACGCGUGGGGAAUCUGCCUUUGAGCGGGGGACAACAUUUGGGAACGAAUGCUAAUACCGCAUAAAAACUUUAAACACAAGUUUUAAGUUUGAAAGAUGCAAUUGCAUCACUCAAAGAUGAUCCCGCGUUGUAUUAGCUAGUUGGUGAGGUAAAGGCUCACCAAGGCGAUGAUACAUAGCCGACCUGAGAGGGUGAUCGGCCACAUUGGGACUGAGACACGGCCCAAACUCCUACGGGAGGCAGCAGUAGGGAAUCUUCGGCAAUGGACGAAAGUCUGACCGAGCAACGCCGCGUGAGUGAAGAAGGUUGUCGGAUCGUAAAACUCUGUUGGUAGAGAAGAACGUUGGUGAGAGUGGAGAGCUCAUCAAGUGACGGUAACUACCCAGAAAGGGACGGCUAACUACGUG